CACGUAGUUAGCCGGGGGCUUCUUACUCAGGUACCGUCAACUUCUUCCCUGCUGAUAGAGCUUUACAUACCGAAAUACUUCUUCACUCACGCGGCGUCGCUGCAUCAGGGUUUCCCCCAUUGUGCAAUAUUCCCCACUGCUGCCUCCCGUAGGAGUUUGGGCCGUGUCUCAGUCCCAAUGUGGCCGGUCACCCUCUCAGGUCGGCUACUGAUCGUCGUCUUGGUGGGCCGCUACCCCGCAACUAACUAAUCAGACGCGGGUCCAUCUCAUACCACCGGAGUUUUUCACACCGGACCAUGCGGUCCUGUGCGCUUAUGCGGUAUUAGCAGUCAUUUCUAACUGUUACUCCCCCUGUAUGAGGCACGGUUACCCACGCGUUACUCCACCCGUCCGCCGCUCAGUACAAUCUUAAUUCCAUACCCGUUAAACUUCCUUAACUACUUGCUUCGCUCGACUUGCUAUGUGUAGCACGCCGCCAGCGU
rnacentral:rRNA from 1 species